rnacentral:rRNA from 1 species
GCAAGUCGAGGGGUAACAUUGGAGCUUGCUCCAGAUGACGACCGGCGCACGGGUGCGUAACGCGUAUGCAACCUACCUUAUACUGGGGAAUAGCCCGAAGAAAUUCGGAUUAAUGCCCCAUAGUAUUGUUUUUUCGCAUGUUAAGACAAUUAAAGAUUACGGUAUAAGAUGGGCAUGCGUCCCAUUAGCUAGAUGGUAAGGUAACGGCUUACCAUGGCAACGAUGGGUAGGGGGCCUGAGAGGGUGAUC